GAAUUAGUGAUGAUUAUAAAAAUAAUUCUUCAUUCUUACUUACUUAAUUUGAACAUGACAAACCUCUUAUUACACUCAUAGAAUCUGAGCUAC
rfam:Theobroma cacao cultivar Matina 1-6 chromosome 1, whole genome shotgun sequence.